ACACCUGAGAGGUGGAGAAAGAGAGAGAUAGCGAAGGAGGUGGUACUGUUUGUUAGCAUGUACGAUUCGGAUUCGAUCUUCCCUGCGUAGAUUGGCUGAACGCAGAAAGCCUUGGAGAUUUCAGCUUGGGAAAGCUUUCGCAGUGUUCGUUUUGGGAGGCAGAAGGCCUCAACUAAGGCUAUUCAGGGAUUCGAGAGAAGGAGGAAGAUCAUAACAAAGACGUACUUCGUUGGCUGAGAAUUGCGCAACCGAUUUGCGGUAUUGAUUUCAAAACUGUCCGAGCUAAUCUAGAAGACGGAGUUCAGGCUAGAGCAAGAUGUUCACAGGUAUGCUGGCACUUCGUUUUCCACUCACUUUUGAUUAUCCAAAUCAAUCAAUGUGAAAGAGAAGCCUCAAAGUACAGGAAAAGUCUUGAUUACAGAAUUCACAACCACUGUUCAAAAGGGAUUCCUUCUAGGAUUACAAUUCUGCCCUGAACCUUUUGGUAUACAAAUAAGAUCUCCAUUACUUUUCCAAUUCUGGUCAGGAAGCUGGAUUUAGAAAUGGAUAGAAAGAAGGAAUGAAAGAAAGAGAGAGGUCCGUUCGAUCUUUUGUUGUUGGUUGCUGAUCAAAGGAUUGUUGAUAGGGAGAGAAUUUUCAUCUGUUCUUUGUUUGUCGGGUUAAAAGAUUAUUCCCAACCACUAUCUUGCUUCAAGUCAUUUUCUUCAGUGAGUACCAGACCCAGCAAGGGUAACCAAAGCACCACAGCAACUUCAUCAUGUACUCAUCAAGUGUGCUUAAUAUCUGGAUGAAGAUUCAUAGUUGAAGGCUACAGACUUUGGCCUGUCAGAUUUUGUGAAACCAGAUGAAAAGUUUAUCAAAAUUGUUGGUAGUACAUACUGUGUAGCCCCCAAAGUGUUACAUAUGGCUUAUGGUACAGAGGCUGAUGUCUGGAGCGUAGGUGUGAUUGCACACAUUCUAUUGUGUGGCAGCUGUCCAUUUUGGCCUUGAACGAAGUUUGGCAUUUUUCGGGCAGUUCUAAAAGUUGAUCCAAGUUUCAAUGAACCACCUUGGCCACAUUCUCUACAGAGGCAAAAGUAAUUUUGUCAAGCGCCUAUUGAAUCAAGACCCACGGAAAAGAAUUACCACUGCACAAACAUGAAGUCAUCCCUGCCUUGAACAUCAUAACACUGUUAAACUUCCUCUGGACAUAAUAAUAUUCAAGCUCAUGAAGGUUUAUAUGCGCUUAUCACCUCUCCGCAAAACUGCUUUAAGGGGAGUUUUUUGCUCAGCUUUCCAGGUUGGUGUAUCAACAUGGUGUCUUAACAUGACAGGGCCGAUUUUUGUAUCUAUGUUCAAGCCUUUGGGGAUCGUAGUUGCAGUUGCCACUGGUUUUGGAGUGUAGCAUACUCUUUACUCUCUGGGUUCAGAAAAUCUAGAAAGAAAGCACGGGCUAUCUAGCUUAAUUUUGAGUUUAACUACCAAAAGAUAAUUGUUGUUUAUGUACUCUAAUCGACUGAAAACACGUAUCAAUAACAAAGAGACCCGCAGCAAAGCGCGGGCUAUGUAUCUAGUUAAUAUAGAAGCAGUCACGCGGAGUGAUACAACUAUGUCUAUGACUAAUUUUGUACAAUAAUGUUCCACGUUGCUACUAGAGAAUACUCCCAGAAAAGACCUGGGCGGACAGCGGAGAAGGGAGACUCUUCAAAGUCUUUACUGGUUGGA